rnacentral:rRNA from 1 species
UACAGAGGGUGCGAGCGUUGUCCGGAAUCACUGGGCGUAAAGGGCGCGUAGGCGGUCUGUUGCGUCCGCUGUGAAAACUCGGGGCUUAACCCCGAGCCUGCAGUGGAUACGGGCAGACUAGAGGUAGGUAGGGGAGAAUGGAAUUCCUGGUGUAGCGGUGAAAUGCGCAGAUAUCAGGAGGAACACCGGUGGCGAAGGCGGGUCUCUGGGCCGAUACUGACGCUGAGGAGCGAAAGCGUGGGGAGCGAACAGG